rnacentral:rRNA from 1 species
GCACGGGUGCGUAACGCGUGGGAACCUGCCCUUAGGUUCGGAAUAACUCAGAGAAAUUUGAGCUAAUACCGGAUAAUGUCUUCGGACCAAAGAUUUAUCGCCUUUGGAUGGGCCCGCGUAGGAUUAGAUAGUUGGUGGGGUAAUGGCCUACCAAGUCGACGAUCCUUAGCUGGUCUGAGAGGAUGAUCAGCCACACUGGGACUGAGACACGGCCCAGACUCCUACGGGAGGCAGCAGUGGGGAAUAUUGGACAAUGGGCGAAAGCCUGAUCCAGCAAUGCCGCGUGAGUGAUGAAGGCCUUAGGGUUGUAAAGCUCUUUUACCAGGGAUGAUAAUGACAGUACCUGGAGAAUAAGCUCCGGCUAACUCCGUGCCAGCAGCCGCGGUAAUACGGAGGGAGCUAGCGUUGUUCGGAAUUACUGGGCGUAAAGCGCACGUAGGCGGCUUUUCAAGUCAGGGGUGAAAUCCCGGGGCUCAACCCCGGAACUGCCCUUGAAACUGGAUGGCUA